AGCAAUUUUAUCAUCUAUCCCCUUUCCUCUACUUCUCCAAUCUCUCUAUAUCUAUGCAUCUAUUACCGGCGGCCACCACUCUCCUCGUCCACCAUCACUGUUCAGAUACUACCAGCAAGGGAGCUUACUAAUUUGGCUGAACUAGUUACUAAUUUGCAUUCGAUUCUUGGCAACAGAUAUGAUGAUGAAGAGUACUUUAAGCUGUCUCAUUCAAAAUAGACAAUAUCAUCGCACGGCAUUCUCGGUUGCUAAGUAUGGAAUCCCCUAUAGGGUCAAGGUACACCCUACUAGUAAAUUUGACAUGACCAGACAAGAAGAACGUGAAAGGUGGUAUAGGCAUUUUUUGGAGAAAUGCAAAAUUGAUUCAAAAAAAAUUAGGACGGUUUAUGAAGAUGAUUGCUUCGUGUUUCAAGGCAAAUUGCUUAAAGAUCAAGCAAAAAGAGUACCGUGUAUGGACGGAUUCAUAUCCAUGAGACGUAUAUUUCUGGCCGAUAUCUGCUAGAGAAGACGGGAUCAGCAAGUGAUAAUUCUAUAUGGCCCUUCUAUCUGCUUGUUUGCAUACCUGACCUUGUGGGAUUUUCUAUUAGUGGCUUUACGACUGAAGUGUUUUUCUAAAUAAAAUAAAACCUUUUUUUGUAAGGAUCUAUAUCUAUAUCAAUAUCUAUAUAUUGCCUAAGUGGUUAUUCUUUGUA